UAAACGAAAGAAAAGAGUAAGUUUUGAAUUGCAAUUAUCGAAUAUUGUUAUAAUUCUUCUUAUUUAUAGUUCUUGAAAGUAAUAAAUAACCAUAAAUCAAUUAAUUUUUUUUUUUCUUAGAAACUCAGUGAAAGCGAUGAUGGCCCUUUACCCGUCAAAACUGCAUUUCUCAAUAAAGAUCUCAUAAAAACUCUUCCGGACGGAACUAAUAUAAGUAACUACAUCAAAGAG